rnacentral:rRNA from 1 species
GACAGAGGCCUCAAGCGUUAGGCGGAAUCACUGGGCUUAAAGCGUGUGUAGGCGGAUCGUUAAGUGCCUUGUGAAAUCCCACGGCUUAACUGUGGAACGGCUGGGCAUACUGGCGGUCUUGAGCCAUCUAGGGGCGACUGGAACAAACGGUGGAGCGGUGAAAUGCGUAGAUAUCGUUUGGAACGCCAAUGGUGAAAACAGGUCGCUGGGGAUGAGCUGA